rnacentral:pre_miRNA from 1 species
GUUUUACCGAGUUCCCUACAAGCACUUCACAAGGCAUUUUACCAAAUGCUAUUGUGAAGUGUUUGGGGGAACUCUCGGUGCCAC